UCCUCCUAAUUUCGAACUAUUGAUAUGAAAUGCUCUGAUUAACUGUUUGCUGAGUUUUAAACCUCCAUAUUUUUGCCUUUAAAAACCACAGAGGAUAUGGAAUGGAUAGGCUUUUAAUGUAUUUAGUUAACCAUUAUUUUUUCAGCAAGAAACAGAGUUAACUUGAAGAAUGUUGAGAAAAAAAAAGGGAGAAAAUUUUUUUCCUUCCAGUGGUGUUUAUAAAUCGGAGACUUGGGUUUAUCUUUAUUUAACCAUUAAGAAAAAAACGUCAUAAAUUAUCAUGAUUAUGAUACAUUGGCUUGUAUAAGUAUUCAUUGUCCUUGAACCUUUCCGCAUUUUGUUGAACUGCAACCUGGAACUUAAAUUGACAUGAAACUAAACAAAAUAUGAUUCAAUAUUCAUGUGCAUCCUGUUUAUAUUAAGCAGUACCUCUCUCUCUGGAUCGAUGUCAUCCUACAGUCUCUUCUUGAGCAAGGCGUGGUGAGACCGUGCACCAGCUCGUACAAUACACCUGUCAAUCCAGUACCUAAACCCGAUGGUACCUGGCGUUUUACACAAGAUUUACGACUCUGUGGUCUGUGUGUUCUGGUAUCUGCUGAGUCACCAGAAAUCUGCCAAGACACUGACACUUGCGCCUGCACCAACAUCUGGCGCAUAAGGGCUUUAAGGUUUCCAGAACCAAGCUGCAAUAUUGCAUGGACACUUAAGUAUUUGAACUUUUGAAGUUUUGAACUUUCUCAAGGCUCUCAUUCUAGACACAAAACGCCCUGCCCUCUGUGCACAAAACGCCCUGCAACUAAACAUGCACUGAUGUCUUUUCUGGGUCAGAAAAUGGAUCCCUGACUGCUCUUUAUAUGACAAGCUUCUCCGUUCUGCAAUCUCUCAUCACGAUCCACUGCAACAUCCUUUGACCUGGACUGACACUAUGGUGGUCGCUUAUCACUCCCUCAGAAGCACUCUUUGUUCCGCCCCUGGGGUUACCUGAUCACUUCAAGCCCUUCCACCUCUAUGCCUGUGAACACCAAGGCACAGCCUCUGGGGAGCAUGAGGGGGGGGGACUGCAGCAUUGUGUGUUUUUAUCCAAAACAUUAGACAUUGUUGCUCAAGGCUUACCUGCGUGUCUGGGGGCUGUCUCUGCAUGUGCUUUGAUGGUUUUAGAUGCGGAAAAAUUGGUUUUGUCUCACCCACUGAUCUUGCACUCGUCACAUCAAGUUAAACAGGUGUUGCAAAAUUUACAGACCCAUUAAAUUAAUUUAUCAGUAAUUUAAUUGAUAAUUAAAUUAACAUAUGACUGUUUAUUCUCUGUUCUACUAACAAUCUCGAAAUUCGUGUCACAUCCUCUUUUGAUAAUGUAGGUCACGCUCUCGCAUGCCUCCUUAACUCUCGGGAUGACAUUGAUAUUGUCUGUCUAAAAAAAUCGUACAUACUACUAGUAUCAGGUCUGAUCUCUCCUCCAGCCCUCUAGGUAUGGGGGAAGUGCUCUUUGUUGAUGGUUCUUGUUCUAAACGGUGUAUAAUAUUUAUAAUUUAUGAUAUUUAUCAUACCUCUGUGGUUACUCUGUGUGUUCACUGCCUGAUAUUCUGCAUGAGGCAUACGCUCCUCCUUUCUCAUUUGAUUUUUGUCAUCUUGAUUGUGGACAAAUUCUCUAAAUGGGUAGAAGUUUUUCCCUGUUCUCGAGAGAACACGAAGGUAGUUACUCGUACUCUGGCAAAAGAAAUAAUACUUAGUUAUAAUAAUAAUAAUACAUUUUAUUUAUAAGUGCCUUUCAAGGUACCCAAGGACACUGGACAGUAAAAAAGAAAAACAAACAAUAAAAGCAGAACAAUAAAAUAACAACAAUAAAAUAAUAAGAAAUCAAUAAUAAUAAUUAUUGUUAUAGUUAUGGGGUUUCAGACGCCAUAGACUUAGACAAAGGUACCCCUUUCACCUCAAAAGUCACACAAAACCUUUGUAAGUAUCUCUAAACUAAACUGGUGUUUUCACAUUCCUCAAUCCUCUGGUAUCGUAGAACGUACUAAUCGAACAUUGAAAGACAAAUUAAUUAAGGUCAUGCAGGACACAGGUUUGGCUCUGUAAUCCAUAAUUCAUUCUGGCUGAAAUUCGUGUGACACCAAGAAAUUAUUUUUGGAAGAUCUUUCCCUCUCCCCUGGAAGAAGGGAACUCCGGCUCCGGGUACCUCUGAUUUGAAAAUGCAUAUGGAUAAGUAUUCUGCAGCCCUUAUAAAUAAGUUGUAUAAAAUUUGUACCAAGGUCAAUAAUACCAUAUUAUCUCCACCACACACCCCUUUCACGUGGGAGACAAGUGCUGGUGUGACUUUUUAAAGUAACGAUUUGGACAAUUGGGAAAACCUAGAUAUGGUGGGCCUGCAGACAUAGUCGCCAUUACUUUUACUGCUGUUUUAACUGACCUUUUUCCACAGUGGAUCCAUGCCACGCGAUUGAAGAAGGCUCCAUAACAAAGUUGUGUUACAAUGACAAGUUUGCUACUAACGUUUUCUCUGUGUCCCUUUCCAGUCUCUGUUCUCUCUCUCUCUAUUUCUGAGCUCUACACAGAUUCAACUGAGAAUCCUCAAGACGUUGUGAACAAAGAGGGGAAGAGAUCUUGCGCCCCGUUUGGGACCAAUCAUCCUCACUACAACCAUGACAGUCCUCAUCACGGGUUUCGUGACUUCAUUGUUGCUCGGGGCAGGGCUACCCGCCCGAGCCUUCGUGACUGCUUCAUCUUUGCUCGGGGCAGAGUUACCCGCCCGAGCCUUCUGGACCACUUCAUUGCUCGGAGCAGGGUUACCCGCUUGAGCUGGACUUCGAGACAACAUCUUCUGGCAAUUUGCUAACUGGACUGCACAAGCGCACACCACACGAAUGUGUUAUGUCUUUCAUCUGAUGCCGUUUUCUACUAUUAUUACACAUCUCUAUGCUCUGAAACUCUGUAUUCUUACAGGACUCUGUUUUCACUAUAGGUCGAUAUGCCUCCUAAUUUCAUUUUCCCUCACUGUUUUAGAACAAAUUACUCUGAAGGAAGUAGCGUGUAUUUGGGACGAAUUAAGAGAUUUUGAGUUUCUCUAAGCUCCGGUGAGGUGGGACGAGGGCUAAUCGGGCAUGCCCGCCCUCUGAGCACCAAUAUACGUCAAGAAGGGCAAAGAUUAACUCAAGAUUAAUUCUCGAUGUAAUCACAUAUAUGAUCAUGAGGUGGUAAUGAUCAUAUAUGAUCCUAGGAUUUGAUAAUAGUGAUACUAUUAUCAAAUCCUAGGAUCAUAUAUGAACUGUGUGUACCUUGCUAUCAUGUCAUAUCAUCAGAAAUAUGUCAUUAUGUUAUAAUUUACACACACACUGAUGGAGAUUAUUUGACCUGCCCCAAGAUCAAGCUGCUCACUUGCACGCAAGUCAAACACACACACAUACAUCUGAACAUUCCAUCAGAACAGUGAUGUAAUUAAAAUAUGACUUUCUGACACACACAUACACACAUUCAUGCACACACACACAUAGAUAUCAAACAGUGAUGUCAUUUACACACAGAUAACACUCGUAUAUAAUAACCCUCUGUAUUCUUGUCCAAUUGGGGGAACUUGCGAAUAAAGAUGUGAACUACA